rnacentral:lncRNA from 1 species
GAAGGUCCUCAUCGAAGCAAAAACCUUCGAUUUAGACUUAUUUUGCAAGUCACUCCAGUGCCAACAUCCCUACGUGAGGCUCAAUCGCCUUCUCUCCGACCUCAACCAAAUCAAGCAGCAACAGAUAGAGGAAGGGCAUAAUCUUCAUUAUGCCUCCAAAGCAAAUAUCAUUUAGGAUCUCCAACACCUCCACCUCUCGUCGGGUGGAGAGCCAAGCCAAC